rnacentral:rRNA from 1 species
GAACGCUGGCGGCAGGCCUAACACAUGCAAGUCGAGCGAGAAAGCCACUUCGGUGGUGAGUAGAGCGGCGCACGGGUGAGUAACACGUGAGUAAUCUGCCCUGGAGUCUGGGAUAACAGUUGGAAACGACUGCUAAUACCGGGUAAGCCCACAAUUCUUCGGCGUUGUGGGAAAAGCAGGGGAACCUUCGGGUCCCUGUGCUCUGGGAUGAGCUCGCGGCCCAUUAGCUAGUUGGUAAGGUAAUGGCUUACCAAGGCUGAGAUGGGUAGCUGGUCUGAGAGGACGAUCAGCCACACUGGAACUGAGACACGGUCCAGACUCCUACGGGAGGCAGCAGUGGGGAAUCUUGCGCAAUGGGCGAAAGCCUGACGCAGCCAUGCCGCGUGAGUGAAGAAGGCCCUCGGGUUGUAAAGCUCUGUUGAGGGGGACGAACAACCGCACCAUGAUAAUGGGUGCGGCCUGACGGUACCCCUUUAGAAAGCACCGGCUAACUCCGUGCCAGCAGCCGCGGUAAUACGGAGGGUGCAAGCGUUGUUCGGAAUUACUGGGCGUAAAGCGCGUGUAGGCGGUGGUGCAAGUCGGGUGUGAAAGCCCAGGGCUCAACUCUGGAAUUGCGCUCGAAACUGCACCACUAGAGUACGGGAGAGGGGUGUGGAAUUCCUGGUGUAGAGGUGAAAUUCGUAGAUAUCAGGAGGAACACCGGUGGCGAAGGCGACACCCUGGACCGAUACUGACGCUGAGACGCGAAAGCGUGGGGAGCAAACA